AACGCACAUUGCGCCCUCUGGUAUUCCGGAGGGCAUGCCUGUUCGAGCGUCAUUAUAACCACUCAAGCUCUCGCUUGGUAUUGGGGUUCGCGGUUUCGCGGCUCCUAAAAUCAGUGGCGGUGCCUGUCGGCUCUACGCGUAGUAAUCCUCCUCGCGUCUGGGUCCGGUAGGUCUACUUGCCAGCAACCCCCAAUUUUUACAGGUUGACCUCGGAUCAGGUAGGGAUACCCGCUGAACUUAA
rnacentral:misc_RNA from 1 species